UCCCUGGCAGUCCAGUGGUUAGGACUUGGUACUCUCACUGCCAAGGGCCCAGGUUCAAUCCCUGGUUGGGGAA